rnacentral:rRNA from 1 species
UACGUAGGGCGCAAGCGUUAUCCGGAAUUAUUGGGCGUAAAGAGCUCGUAGGCGGUUUGUCGCGUCUGCCGUGAAAGUCCGGGGCUCAACUCCGGAUCUGCGGUGGGUACGGGGCAGACUAGAGUGAUGUAGGGGAGACUGGAAUUCCUGGUGUAGCGGUGAAAUGCGCAGAUAUCAGGAGGAACACCGAUGGCGAAGGCAGGUCUCUGGGCAUUAACUGACGCUGAGGAGCGAAAGCGUGGGGAGCGAACAGG